rnacentral:rRNA from 1 species
ACCUGGUUGAUUCUGCCAGUAGUCAUAUGCUUGUCUCAAAGAUUAAGCCAUGCAUGUCUAAGUAUAAGCAAUCUAUACGGUGAAACUGCGAAUGGCUCAUUAAAUCAGUUAUCGUUUAUUUGAUAGUACCUUACUACUUGGAUACCCGUGGUAAUUCUAGAGCUAAUACAUGCUGAAAGCCUCGACUUCGGAAGGGGUGUAUUUAUUAGAUAAAAACCAAUGCCCUCCGGGGCUCCUUGGUGAUUCAUAAUAACUUGUCGAAUCGCAUGGCCUUGCGCCGGCGAUGGUUCAUUCAAAUUUCUGCCCUAUCAACUUUCGAUGGUAGGAUAGUGGCCUACCAUGGUGGCAACGGGUAACGGGGAAUUAGGGUUCGAUUCCGGAGAGGGAGCCUGAGAGACGGCUACCACAUCUAUCUAAGGCAAGGGCGCAGGCGCGCAAAUUACCCAAUCCCGAUACGGGGAGGUAGUGACAAUAAAUACUGAUACAGGGCUCUUUCGGGUCUUGUAAUUGGAAUGAGUACAAUCUAAAUCCCUUAACGAGGAACAAUUGGAGGGCAAGUCUGGUGCCAGCAGCCGCGGUAAUUCCAGCUCCAAUAGCGUAUAUUAAAGUUGUUGCAGUUAAAAAGCUCGUAGUUGAACCUUGGGUCUGGCUGGCCGGUCCGCCUCACCGCGUGCACUGGUCCGGCCGGACCUUUCCUCCUGGGGAGCCUCAUGGCCUUCACUGGCUGUGGGGGGAACCAGGACUUUUACUGUGAAAAAAUUAGAGUGUUCAAAGCAGGCCUUUGCUCGGAUACAUUAGCAUGGAAUAAUAGAAUAGGACGUGUGGUUCUAUUUUGUUGGUUUCUAGGACCGCCGUAAUGAUUAAUAGGGAUGGUCGGGGGCGUCAGUAUUCGGCUGUCAGAGGUGAAAUUCUUGGAUUUGCUGAAGACUAACUACUGCGAAAGCAUUCGCCAAGGAUGUUUUCAUUAAUCAGUGAACGAAAGUUAGGGGAUCGAAGACGAUCAGAUACCGUCGUAGUCUUAACCAUAAACUAUGCCGACUAGGGAUCGGACGGGGUUCUUAUGAUGACCCGUUCGGCACCUUACGAGAAAUCAAAGUUUUUGGGUUCUGGGGGAGUAUGGUCGCAAGGCUGAAACUUAAAGAAAUUGACGGAAGGGCACCACAAGGCGUAAACACUUGCAUGUUUUGCCGCAGCAACUCUGCGCCGAAAAGCAGCCUGAAAGGGUGAUGUGGUGCCCUUGGACAAAAAUAUUAAAUGCUAGUCCGGCCUUCUCACAGGCUGGGCGACACACUCAAAUUGCGGGAAACCCCUAAAGCCUUCACUACCAAGCUGUGUUUCGAAAGGACAUGGUGGCCAGGUUAAUUGCCUCGGGUACGGUCACAACGUGAAGGAUGUUCCAAUGGGCAAUCCGCAGCCAAGCCCCUACGUGUGGUGUCCGUAAUACAGACAUUCCAUAUGGGGAAGGUUCAGAGACUAAAUGGGUGUGGGUGCGUUACUCUCGAAGUGACAAGCUUAAGAUAUAGUCCGGCUUCAGUAGAAAUGCUGGAGAUCAGGUUCCACCUGUGAUUAAAACGGGAGCCUGCGGCUUAAUUUGACUCAACACGGGGAAACUCACCAGGUCCAGACAAAAUAAGGAUUGACAGAUUGAGAGCUCUUUCUUGAUCUUUUGGAUGGUGGUGCAUGGCCGUUCUUAGUUGGUGGAGUGAUUUGUCUGCUUAAUUGCGAUAACGAACGAGACCUUAACCUGCUAAAUAGCCCGACCCGCGUCUGCGGGCCGCUGGCUUCUUAGAGGGACUAUCGGCUCAAGCCGAUGGAAGUUUGAGGCAAUAACAGGUCUGUGAUGCCCUUAGAUGUUCUGGGCCGCACGCGCGCUACACUGACAGGGCCAGCGAGUACAUCACCUUGACCGAGAGGUCUGGGUAAUCUUGUUAAACCCUGUCGUGCUGGGGAUAGAGCAUUGCAAUUAUUGCUCUUCAACGAGGAAUGCCUAGUAGGCACAAGUCAUCAGCUUGUGCCGAUUACGUCCCUGCCCUUUGUACACACCGCCCGUCGCUACUACCGAUUGAAUGGCUCAGUGAGGCCUUCGGACUGGCUCAGGGGGGUUGGCAACGACCGCCCAGAGCCGGAAAGUUGGUCAAACUUGGUCAUUUAGAGGAAGUAAAAGUCGUAACAAGGUUUCCGUAGGUGAACCUGCGGAAGGAUCAUUA